rnacentral:lncRNA from 1 species
AAGUACCUUCACAGGUUUCCNGUUGCCUGCAGGAGUCAGCUUAUACCUGUCAGUGUGACAUACCGGACAUGCGUCAAGGCCACCAAGGUCAUUCCCUUCUGGAUCUUUACCCCAGAAGAGAACGCAGUCAUAUCUGCAUGCAUGGAUCUUGAUGUAGGAAAACCCAAGAUCUUUCAGGAUACAUCGGACCUUAUGAUGAGUGGUAGGAAGACGAUGACCGUGGGGCAGCAUCGAAGCAGUGUACUGUAGAUAAUCAUCAACAGCUUUCACAGUCGAUUUUAUCUCAACUUUAAUCUUCAUUACGUCCAUCACACUUUCAAGAAAACGGUCUUCUGACAACCGGGGUACACAGGGGUCUGUUGGAAAGCAAGCAGUUUGUUGUACUUAUCAAUACCAGCAGUGUUGACAGCUCUAUGGAAGGGCUGCACCGGGUCAGGCAUACACUGUCCUUGAGCGCAUACACCGCUCUCAUAAGGAAACAUGUCGUUGAUGAAGGCCGUUGUUGGAUCGUUAGAUGUACUGCCCGUCUCAGAAAAUUGCCCAUGAUCAUGCGAACCCCUUGAUGAUGUUUCACCGUGAUAUAACCAACAUGUGUACUUCUCCCAAAACCCGUUACUCUUCAAGUGCUGUCAUAUUUUGUCAAUCCCAAAUCGAUGCAUAUCACUGCGACACUGACAUUUUGUGCACGGGCAAUAGAAAAUUGUAUUCCCGUUAGCAUUAGCCAGCGCAUAUUCUAGAAAACUCAUAACUCCUUUACCAUAUCUUUUGUCCCAUUUUGGAAACGAAAUCCAACUCUUAUCCAUAUAUAUCCUAAAAAUAUAACAAAAUGUAUAUGUAUAACGCUAGCUAAUUAUUAAUUAAAUUUCAUGCCAUAUAUAAAAUCUCAAUUCAUUUAGUAUAUAUUAAUUAAUUAACAAAUUGAUAACAAAUUAAUUAACAUAUAUAUAUAUACUUAAUAAUUACAUAACAAUAUUAUAUAUAUCAACAUCAUCACAAAAUCAUCAUCAACAACUUCAUACCAUCAACACAAUAUUAUAAAUUAA